UACGUAGGGUGCGAGCGUUAAUCGGAAUUACUGGGCGUAAAGGGUGCGCAGGCGGUUAUAUAAGACAGAUGUGAAAUCCCCGGGCUCAACCUGGGACUGCGUUUGUGACUGUAUGACUAGAGUACGGUAGAGAGGGGUGGAAUUCCGCGUGUAGCAGUGAAAUGCGUAGAUAUGCGGAGGAACACCGAUGGCGAAGGCAAUCCCCUGGACCUGUACUGACGCUCAUGCACCGAAAGCGUGGGGAGCAAACAGG
rnacentral:rRNA from 1 species